rnacentral:rRNA from 1 species
AUCGAACGCUGGCGUCAGGCUUAACACAUGCAAGUCGAACGGGUCGCGGACGGGUGAGCAAUGCUUGGGAAUCGGGCUUAUGGAGGCGGAUAACGCCGGUAAACUGUCGCUAAUCGCGCGUACCAUAGGAUGAGCCCAAGUGGGAUUCGGUAGUCGGUGGGGUAAUGGCCUACCAAGCCGCAGAUCCCUAGCUGGUCUGAGAGGGUGACCCGCCAGCCGGGGACUGAGCCGCGGCCCGGACUCCUGAGGGAGGCAGCAGUAGGGAGGCUUGGGCAAUGGGGGCAACUUGACACGGCACUGCCGCGUGAAUGAAGAAGGCCUUCGGGUUGUAAAGUUCUUUCGGUGACGAGGCGUUAGUCACAGAAGAAGCACCGGCUAAAUCCGUGGCAGCAGCCGCGGUAAUAC